AUUGAACGCUGGCGGCAUGCCUUACACAUGCAAGUCGAACGGCAGCGGGGGCUUCGGUCCGCCGGCGAGUGGCGAACGGGUGAGUAAUGUAUCGGAACGUACCUUUCAGUGGGGGAUAACGUAGCGAAAGUUACGCUAAUACCGCAUAUCCUCUGAGGAGGAAAGCAGGGGACCUUCGGGCCUUGUGCUGAUGGAGCGGCCGAUAUCAGAUUAGCUAGUUGGUGAGGUAAAGGCUCACCAAGGCGACGAUCUGUAGCGGGUCUGAGAGGAUGAUCCGCCACACUGGGACUGAGACACGGCCCAGACUCCUACGGGAGGCAGCAGUGGGGAAUUUUGGACAAUGGGCGCAAGCCUGAUCCAGCCAUGCCGCGUGAGUGAAGAAGGCCUUCGGGUUGUAAAGCUCUUUCGGACGGGAAGAAAUUGGUGGGGCUAAUAUCCCCAUCGGAUGACGGUACCGUAAUAAGAAGCACCGGCUAACUACGUGCCAGCCGCCGCCGUAACAC
rnacentral:rRNA from 1 species